UACGGAAGGCAGCAGUGGGGAAUAUUGCACAAUGGGCGCAAGCCUGAUGCAGCCAUGCCGCGUGUAUGAAAAAGGCCUUCGGGUUGUAAAGUACUUUCAGUCGUGAGGAAGGUGUUAAGGUUAAUAACCUUAGCAAUUGACGUUAGCGACAGAAGAAGCACCGGCUAACUCCGUGCCAGCAGCCGCGGUAAUACGGAGGGUGCGAGCGUUAAUCGGAAUUACUGGGCGUAAAGGGCACGCAGGCGGUUAAUUAAGUUGGAUGUGAAAUCCCCGGGCUUAACCUGGGAAUGGCAUUCAAGACUGGUUAGCUAGAGUCUUGUAGAGGGGGUUAGAAUUCCAUGUGUAGCGGUGAAAUGCGUAGAGAUGUGGAGGAAUACCGGUGGCGAAGGCGGCCCCUGGACAAAGACUGACGCUCAUGUGCGAAAGCGUGGGGAGCAAACGAGGGAUUAGAUA
rnacentral:rRNA from 1 species